UAUUCCCACCAUGAGUGCUCUCAUUAGCAGGACCUGCGGGCUCUGGAUCAGACCCUGGUGGGGAGGGUAGAGUUAGGAAGAAGAUAAGGGCCAGUUUCUUUCCAGCCUGUGGAAGAGGGGAAAAGCCUGUGUUGUUAGGAAUGACAUUGACAGCCAGGGAUAUGGCACAUUUUGGCAGAGAUUUUGAAAUCAGCUAAUAUAAACCUAGCAUCUUUUCUGGGGCUCCCCAACAGUCCCACUCAGCAUAGUAUCCCCAUGCACCUAAAGUCCUGUCCCCUUGGCUGAUACCUUGUUAAAUUCAGCCUCCUGCGAUAAUAUUUUGUCUUGUAAUUAUGAUCCUAGAGCAUGCAAAAGAAAUACCAAGAUGAAUAUAGUCGAUUACCUUACCUUCAUCCUUUAGAGCAUUGAGUUAACCCCAGCCACUGAAUAAUUGCACCUGCAGAAUACGUUUUAUUGGGAGAAACAAGAGCAGGAGGACUCUGCAGCCAGUAGAGAUCAAGACUGGUUGCCUCUGCAAAGCCAUUUCAAGCCUCUUGGCUUGAGACUAUGUCAUUAGCUUCUGUCAGUGAUUAAUUUGAGAAAUAUAUAUUCAGUAAUGGACUAUUUAGUGUACAAAGCUUAGUGCAUAAUCUAUUUACUUACCACUGCCAGCACAUCGCACAGUAGCAUUGCAGCUAAUAUUGAACAAAACCCUGAGCAAUGCAGUAUCACCUUUUGAUUUCUUCACAUACCAUUUAUUUUUCUUACCAGGGAUAAGUCCUGCAGACCUUGGUCUCUCAGCAAACCCAUGCUGGUAAUUUUUCCUGCUUUGCCAGGCCUUGGUCCUCAGCUCACUGGUGAUGCUCAGUUAAGACAUGGUUUAAGCACCAUCCAGUCAGGACCACUGAGGAGCAGGACAGUGAUGGCAGCUGAGGUAGAAAGGAACAGGGCUGGAGGCCACAAGUCUGCGACAGAAAGGUGAAUGUUGAGGGCCAAAAUUGUUCAGUGAGAUGCAGAUCCAGAGAGAACUGGAGUGGAUAGACUGAAACUUUCUGGGUUGCUGUUAGGCUGUCAGAAUGUAAAUGUAGCUCAUGUUUGUACCAGCCAGUUGUAUUUGCAGCUCAGGUGCAUGAGCUCUGCAACAGAAAGUGGAUGCAUUGUCCAUAUUUAGUAGGAUCUUGCAUUUUUUUGUUGGGGGGUGGGGUAAGGAGGGCAGAUAAAAAUGCUUGAGGAGCCCAGGGUGUGUGAAUUCAGAAGCUGCUUACAUUGAACUGAAAAUGCCUAGUUUGGUACAGGCACAGUUGAUAUGCCUGGGCCAGAGGGCGUAUCAGCUUCUGGGGAAGAGGAAUGAGAAAUGCCCUGGGGACCUCUCAUCCCUCCUUAGUGCCAGACUGAAGGGACAGGGAGACCAUCCUUCUUUAUUUCCUUCCAUCCCAACUGUGUCUGCUGCCUACACACCCUGAGCCAUCUUCAAGGGUCUUGGGGCACCAUCCAGCUCAGCUUUUCACAGUUUCUGCGGCAGCAAACCUGCUGCCUUGUCAUCUAUCAAGGGUACCUGCUCUGGGCAGCUAUCUGCUUUACCUGGGCUUAAAGCCAUCUCGAUGGUUUUUUUUCCAUCUCGAUGGAAAUUCUUCCAUGUUGAGAAGUAAAACCAUCUCUUUCCAGUGUCUGUGCCAAAGUCAAAACAAGGAGAACGCAAGGCGUCCGCAGCAGUCGAUGUGCUGAGGUGCUCUUCUGGGAUUUUCAUGUGGGUGUAAACCUGGUGUGAAGGUGGCUCAGUGUGGACGCAGGGUGCAGCCAGGGCUGGGUAAUCGGCUCCCCCUCUGAUUCCAAGUCCCCCCGUGUCCGUGAUGAGUGGCCCAGGGCAGGAGCCCACCCCGCCUACCCCAAUUCCAGCCGGGGAGUGACUGCGGGGUGCGGCUGGCCGGGUCCCCGCUGCGCUCUGCCGCCGUGGGACACGGGGCGCGCCCCGGCGAUGUCGGAGCUGUGGCAGGGUGGAAUCGGUGCCGUGGGCUGCGGCAGGAGCUGCCUGCGCGGCCCCCAAAAGCGGGUUCUGGCAGCAGCGGAGCCGUGAGAGGCGGUGUUGGACCGCGCUGCGGCGGCCGCACGGGCAGCGCCGGGCCCGGCGGGCUCCGGAGCGUCUCCGCUGCAUUCUGGGCAGUUCCAGCCUUGCUAUUUCGCAGCAGGCAUUCGUUGCAACAAAAUCUCCUUUCCCCCUUUCUCCUUUUUUCUCUUUCUUUUUAAUUUUCUGCCUUUUUUUUAUUUUCUUUUCUAUUCUUCUUUCCCAUUUCUCCUUUUCUUUUGAGGUGUUUCCCAGACCUUCCCAGCAGUGUUUGUGACCUCUUUCCCAGACUUUCCAGCAGUUUAUGAAGCAUCCCACCGCUGGAAGGGUGACUCUUUGCCAAUUGAGCAUCCCUGCAAUCACAGGUGGGCAGCUGACGCAGCCAAGAGCUCCGUGAUGCCUCACCACACCCGUCGUGUUCCUGAGAGGACUCCCAGCCAAAGCUCAGCAUCACGGCCACCUCUGCCACGUGCUCCCUGAGGUGACUCCUCUGGAUAUCCAGCCCUGGAGGAGAGGUUACACCUCAGGUUUUGCCUGGCUUGAAGAGAAUAAAAAGCCCCAUUGGUGACAGCAACAUCAACAGAUGCAAACUAGGGAGUGAGUGUGGAAGUGAGCUGCCUUCACCUUUAUCUGCUGCUUUUGGACAGAUGAAUCCACACUACAGCAGAGCACUUGCAGAUUACUCUCCUUCUUCUGUGAAAGUUUGCCUAUCAGUGUAAGCGGCAUCUGGAGAUGGGAAAACUGAACUUCAGGUUAAAGUUUUGAGAAGACAAGGAUUAUCUCCAGUUUAGAAUCCUGCUUUUGAGCUGAUGGAUUCAUUGCAGGCUCUGCUCCCUUUGCACUCUCAGCUUCCUCCAAAAGAGGAGUAGAUGUGUGAGAGCCAGAAAACCAACCAUUGGCAGCCCUGUAUUGUGUGAGAUAUUUUAUUUACAAAGGUGGGGACAUUUGUACCAUCACCUUCUCUUGAUGGCUCCCCAAGCCUUGCUCUGCCAAUAGAGCUCAAUGCAGAGAGGUCAUUAGGAAGACUAAGGUGAAUGCCUUGUGAAGGCCAGGAGACUGUUCUGAAGAAAGUCCCUUCCAGCACUGAAUUUUACAGUGGUCCAACGGGCUGGCAGGUGCCGUUUGUUUUACCUGGUUGCUUGGUUGCUUUGGUCUUUAAAAAGUCUUGUAAAUGCCUAAGAAGAAGAAAGUUGUUCACCUGUUCUGCAUAGUGGGGGAAAAAAAUCCACCCCAAAUGCACAAUGGAGGGAAUAUCUGUCUCUCUGUGUCAGUGAUGCUAAACUGGAGUUUCAGUGGGAGAGGGCUCAGCCCUGGACAGGUUUUCCAGGCUAAUUGAAAGGAACAUGGUGAUAUCUGAAAUGCUACUUGCUCCAUGUGCUUGUGGCUUUG